ACAUUAUAAUGAAAAUAAGAAUGAGAAAUAGAGCCGUUAUGAGCCCCACAUCAGAGAUAGAAAUUCAGAGCCUGUUUGGGCCCGAUUUUUUUACCCAAAAAAUUGAUUUUAUGAUCGUUAUUUUACUAUUUCAAUCGUCAUAUUAGACUUUUUCUCUCACAGGUGGACCCCACUUUUCUCCUAACAGUCAAAAAAUCAAUUCCCAAAAUCACUUCUAAACAUGCUCUCAAAAAUUGUGACUUGAUAUGAUGGAUAACAGUCAUAUUUUUCAUUUUAAUGAGAUAAAAAUGGGGCUCAAACAGGGACUUAAUUGAACAUAUAAAAGGUAACUAUUUAAACUGGUACUUUAGCACGAUUGGUAC
rnacentral:lncRNA from 1 species